UACAGAGGUCUCAAGCGUUGUUCGGAUUCAUUGGGCGUAAAGGGUGCGUAGGUGGCGCCGUAAGUCGGGUGUGAAAUUUCGAGGCUUAACUCCGAAACUGCAUUCGAUACUGCCGUGCUUGAGGAACUGGGAGAGGAGACUGGAAUUUACGGUGUAGCGGUGAAAUGCGUAGAUAUCGUAAGGAAGACCAGUGGCGAAGGCGGGUCUCUGGACAGUUCCUG
rnacentral:rRNA from 1 species